rnacentral:rRNA from 1 species
GUUAUAUGGUCAAGCGAAUAAGCGCACACGGUGGAUGCCUUGGCGGUCAGAGGCGAUGAAGGACGUGGCAGCCUGCGAAAAGUAUCGGGGAGCUGGCAACAAGCUUUGAUCCGGUAAUGUCCGAAUGGGGAAACCCACCCGCUUGCGGGUAUCCUGCAGUGAAUACAUAGCUGCUGGAAGCGAACCUGGUGAACUGAAAUAUCUAAGUAACCAGAGGAAAAGAAAUCAACCGAGAUUCCGUAAGUAGCGACGAGCGAACGCGGACUAGCCCUUAAGCUGGAUUGGUUCUAGGAAAACGCUCUGGAAAGAGCGGCCAUAGAAGGUGAUAGCCCUGUAUCUGAAAGGGCCAUUCCAGUGAAGACGAGUAGGGCGGGGCACGUGAAACCCUGUCUGAACAUGGGGGGACCAUCCUCCAAGGCUAAAUACUACUGACCGACCGAUAGUGAACCAGUACCGUGAGGGAAAGGCGAAAAGAACCCCGGAGAGGGGAGUGAAAUAGAACCUGAAACCGUGUGCGUACAAGCAGUAGGAGCUCCGCAAGGAGUGACUGCGUACCUUUUGUAUAAUGGGUCAGCGACUUACUGUUCGUGGCAAGCUUAACCGUAUAGGGGAGGCGAAGGGAAACCGAGUCUGAUAAGGGCGCAUAGUCGCGG